UACGAAGGGGGCUAGCGUUGCUCGGAAUUACUGGGCGUAAAGCGCGCGUAGGCGGAUCGUUAAGUCGGGGGGGAAAUCCUGGAGCUCAACUCCAGAACUGCCUUCGAUACUGGCGAUCUUGAGUCCGGGAGAGGUGAGUGGAACUCCGAGUGUAGAGGUGAAAUUCGUAGAUAUUCGGAAGAACACCAGUGGCGAAGGCGGCUCACUGGCCCGGUACUGACGCUGAGGUGCGAAAGCGUGGGGAGCAAACAGG
rnacentral:rRNA from 1 species